rnacentral:rRNA from 1 species
UGCGUCUCGGUCGAUCGUUUGACCUCUUUAUCGUCCCUUUUCCUGCCUGUCAUUGCAUGUCUUUUUUGGGUAUAUAUAUGUAUCGUUACAACUUUCAACAAUGGAUCUCUUGGCUUUCGCAUCGAUGAAGAACGCGGCGAACGUGCGAAACGUAAUGUGAAUUGCAGAAUUCAGUGAAUCAUCGAAUCUUUGAACGCAUCUUGCGCUCCUUGGCAUUCCGAGGAGCAUGCCUGUUUGAGUGUCGUGUAUUAACUCAGACCCCCCCCCUGGGGGAGGGUUUGGAUUUGGACGCUUGCGGUGACGUGCCCCCUCGUCCCCGCUCGUCUUGAAAUGCAAUGCCAUGCCUCUGUCGCUCUGGGAUGGUGACGGCGUUUUGAUAGUUCGGUUUUGAGAAACGCUUGACCCAAAGUCGGGUGACGGACGCGCGUGUGCCACCGCCUUAUGGCAUAUACACAUAUACGCCCUGACCUCAAAUCAGGUAGGACUACCCGCUGAACUUAAGCAUAUCAAUAAGCGGAGA